ACCAGACGUCGAGCGGCGGACGGGUGAGUAAUGCUUAGGAAUCUACCGAGUAGUGGGGGAUAGCCAUUGGAAACGAUGAUUAAUACCGCAUAUAUCCUACGGGGGAAAGCAGGGGACCUUCGGGCCUUGCGCUAUUCGAUGAGCCUGAGCGAGAUUAGCUAGUUGGUGGGGUAAAGGCCUACCAAGGCGACGAUCUCUAGCUGGUCUGAGAGGAUGAUCAGCCACACUGGGACUGAGACACGGCCCAGACUCCUACGGGAGGCAGCAGUGGGGAAUAUUGCACAAUGGACGAAAGUCUGAUGCAGCCAUGCCGCGUGUGUGAAGAAGGCCUUCGGGUUGUAAAGCACUUUCAGCGAGGAGGAAAGGUCAGUAAGUAAUAUUUGCUGGCUGUGACGUUACUCGCAGAAGAAGCACCGGCUAAUUUAGUGCCAGCAGCCGCGGUAAUACUAAAGGUGCAAGCGUUAAUCGGAAUUACUGGGCGUAAAGCGCGCGUAGGUGGUUUGUUAAGUUGGAUGUGAAAGCCCAGGGCUCAACCUUGGAACUGCAUUCAAAACUGACUCACUAGAGUACGAGAGAGGUUAGUGGAAUUUCCUGUGUAGCGGUGAAAUGCGUAGAGAUGGGAAGGAACACCAGUGGCGAGGCGACUGACUGACUCGAUACUGACACUGA
rnacentral:rRNA from 1 species